rnacentral:rRNA from 1 species
CAAUAGUGUAUAUUAAAGUUGUUGCAGUUAAAAAGCUCGUAGUUGGACCUUGGACCUGGACAGGCGGUCCGCCUCACGGCGUGUACUGUCUUGCUGGGUCUUUCCUCUUGGUGAUCUGUUGUUUCGGCAGCAGGGAACCAGGACUUUUACUUUGAAAAAAUUAGAGUGUUCAAAGCAGGCUCGACGCCGGAAUAUAUUAGCAUGGAAUAAUAAAAUAGGACGUGCGGUUCUAUUUUGUUGGUUUUUGGAAUCGCCGUAAUGAUUAAUAGGGACAGUCGGGGGCAUUAGUACUCACAUGCUAGAGGUGAAAUUCUUGGAUUUUGUGAAGACUAACUUCUGCGAAAGCAUUUGCCAAGGAUGUUUUCAUUAA